CUGAGACGGAAGCAGGGUGGAAACGAUAGGAGUGUGUGUGUGUGUGUGUGUGUGUGUGUGUGCGUGUCCUGACCUUUGCUCCACUGAGGCCGACCUGUUGUGGAAAGAAGGCACCAUGUUUUUCUUCUCCCUGUACAUCAUCGCCCAGCUAAUUGUUGCCGACGAUUUCUUCUCAUCCGACCCGAGUCGCUCCCUGUAUUUCUGGGCCUAACGGACGGGGAAAGGACACCGCGCGGAUGUGCGUUGAACCAUGAGGUCUUCUGCAUUCUAGAAGAAAGUUCCAUUCUCCGUUGAGAGCACGACCACUUUCGGGAGUCAUGAGGGGCCUCCCACAGGAAUCCGUCUUGAUGUAAAGACCGACGAAACGUCCGUCCAGCUCCAGUCCUUCGCUUUCCCACACUUCCAGCCCGGAGCGGCCGCUGGCAAAGCCAACACCUCUACGCGUCCCACCCUUGCUGCCAAAAAGAUGCCAACCUCUGCCGGGUGUGUGGUUGUUUUAGAAAGGGAAGCCCACCCGCUGCCCUCGGGGGGGGCGACACUGUCGUGUCAACACGGUCUCACGGAUCAGUGCCAGCUGAUCCCUGGUGCAGAACAGUGCGGUGAGGUGGUGGCAGCCAACGCUUUCCUCCGCCGACUGCACUGAAGAAACAACACCGGCGGCUGGGCCCACGCCAGCUUCCUGCCACCCGGUCAACCGUCUGGGAACAGCAGCCCCACACAGCUGGGGAGGGACACUCGGUCCUCCCUUUGAGCCCUUCACAGCAAAAAAACAAAAGGUUGCAGCACAAAUCAGCAGCACACGGCGUCCGACAGCCUGGACACGACUUGUGCUCGGUGUCUUCUGUUUCUCUGGGAAGGAGCUUUCUAAAGAGGUGAUGUCGCAGUGAUGUAAGCAGGGUUUACAUUUAAUGUGAGAACACGAAAAUACAUGAAAGUACGUGAAACAGAGCAGUACUCGUGUGAUUGGGGCCCCACAGUCAGUCUGCCCCUGCUGCCCCAGAAGCAUAUCAGCACACGGUUAGUCCCCUUCGACCCCCACGGGUCAGCAGACGGAGGGGGGGGGGGGGGGCCUCAGAC
ensembl:lncRNA